GACGAACGCUGGCGGCGUGCCUAAUACAUGCAAGUUGAGCGCUGAAGGUUGGUACUUGUACCAACUGGAUGAGCAGCGAACGGGUGAGUAACGCGUGGGGAAUCUGCCUUUGAGCGGGGGACAACAUUUGGAAACGAAUGCUAAUACCGCAUAAAAACUUUAAACACAAGUUUUAAGUUUGAAAGAUGCAAUUGCAUCACUCAAAGAUGAUCCCGCGUUGUAUUAGCUAGUUGGUGAGGUAAAGGCUCACCAAGGCGAGGAUACAUAGCCGACCUGAGAGGGUGAUCGGCCAGACUGGGACUGAGACACGGCCCAAACUCCCACGGGAGGCAGCAGUAGGGAAUCUUCGGCAAUGGACGAAAGUCUGACCGAGCAACGCCGGGUGAGUGAAGAAGGGUUUCGGAUCGGAAAACUCUGUUGGUAGAGAAGAACGUUGGUGAGAGUGGAAAGCUCAUCAAGUGACGGUAACUACACAGAAAGGGACGGCUAACUACGUG
rnacentral:rRNA from 1 species